rnacentral:rRNA from 1 species
CGGAAGGGUGAGGAACGCGUGAGUAAUCUGCCCCCCAGUUGGGAAUAACAGUUGGAAACGACUGCUAAUACCGAAUGUGGCUUAGGUUCCGCAUGGGACUUUGGCUAAAGAUUUAUCGCUGAGGGAUGAGCUCGCGUCCCAUUAGGUAGUUGGUGAGGUAACGGCUCACCAAGCCGACGAUGGGUAGCUGGUCUGAGAGGAUGGUCAGCCACACUGGGACUGUGACACUGCCCAGACUCCUACGGGAGGCUGCAGUCGAGAAUCUUGGGCAAUGCGCGAAAGCGUGACCCAGCAAUGCCGCGUGUAUGAUGAAGGCCCUCGGGUCGUAAAAUACUGUCUCCCGUGACGAAAUUUGACGGUAGCGGGGAAGGAAGCCACGGCUAACUACGUGCCAGCAGCCGCGGUAAUACGUAGGUGGCGAGCGUUGUUCGGAUUUAUUGGGCGUAAAGGGUCUGUAGGAGGUUUGUUAAAUACGGGGUGAAAUCCGGAAGCUCAACUUCCGAAUUGCCUUGUAGACUGACGGACUGGAGUACCGGAGAGGUAAGCGGAAUACCAGGUGUAGCGGUGGAAUGCGUAGAUAUCUGGUAGAACACCAAAAGCGAAGGCAGCUUACUGGACGGAAACUGACUCUGAAAGACGAAAGCAUGGGGAGCAAACAGGAUUAGAUACCCUGGUAGUCCAUGCCGUAAACGUUGUCAACUUGAUGUGGGGGGAUUUAGUCCUCCCCGUAUCGAAGCUAACGCGAUAAGUUGACCGCCUGGGGACUACGGCCGCAAGGCUAAAACUCAAAGGAAUUGACGGGGGCCCGCACAAGCGGUGUAGCAUGUGGCUUAAUUCGAGGCAACGCGAAGAACCUUACCUGGUCUUGAAAUAUAUCGGAUCG